rnacentral:misc_RNA from 1 species
CUGAGUUGCAAGACUCCCAGGCCAUUGUGAACCUACCUAUCGUUGCUUCGGCGGGGCGAGGCCCACAGCGGCCUCGCGCCCCACCCCCCCUCGGGGGGAGGCAGCCGCCGGAGGCGUCCAAACUAUAGCAUACAUUGGCCUCUCUGAGUAGCUUAUAAAAUAAGUCA